UCCCUCUCCCAGGGAGAGCUGUAGUAAACAGACAAAAAUGAGCACUAAACUCAUUGUAGGAAAGCAUGAAUCAUAUGUUUUCCAUCUUCAAUGAAGAAAACCCUUCUUGUCUGAAGAAAUGAAGGAACUAAUAAACUGCAGAUGUGAAACCAAGCAUUCAGAAAGCGUACUUAUAUGCAGGAUUGAUGAAAUAGUUAUUUUACAGAAGCAGUUGAUCCAGGUUAUGACUGAAGGCCAAAAAGGACUGUUAGCUUAUCUAGGGCAAGUAGCUAGCAGGCUGUGACCUACACCCAGCUUUCUGGAGAGUUCUGUCUGGUUCACCAGAUAGGUUUGGAAGCUGCUGAGUGCAUGCAUUACACACCCAGGUCUCCCACCAUGUUGUCCCACGUAAAGGCCAAAGGAUUCACCCAGGGAGGUGCAGAAUCUAGUUAGCUAUGAUAUGGCCCUUUGUGGUAGUAUUAAAACAAGUCUUAUGAAAUCAACUGCACAUUCCUGUAGUGAUAUUAAUCAUUUGCAAGAAAUUUAUCUAUAUCAGACAACUCGACAUGUCUCCAUUGUACAAUGACUUGUUCUGUGCAUGAAAAGCCUUUACUGUUAUGCCCAGAGCAAGCCAGAUGUGUGCUAUUACACAACAGAAACAUAUUUCUGCAAAGCCUCUUUGAUAUGUAUGCCUAGUGGAACAAUACCAGUGACUCUUUAUAGAGGUUUGAAGGAAAAUAACCAUGGGUUGUGCCUCUGACAGAGAGCUAUUCUGGUAAUCCUCCUCUAUACUAUUUCAAGAAGGAAGGGAAGAUAUAAGGAUUUAAUGGAAGCCAAAACAUUUCUUGUAACUCAGUUGUGUAAAAACACAAUUGACAACUGUAACAUGCUGAACAGGGUGUGUGUUUGUAUCUACCCAGUGUUACCUGCUGCCCUACAAGCUCCACGAAAAAUCUGAUUGCCUUUGUGCAAGUUUUGUGUUUGUGACCCCAUGAAGAUCAGCUGACCAGUGAAGUUAGGGAGAUCAGUGUGCGACAAGAAAAAGUUGCAGUUUAGAGGCCUGCAUGAAAUGCUGAAGGUCAAAGACAGUUGUGGAAGCUGCUCAACUCUUCCACCAUGAGACACUGAUUCUGGGCUCUAUGGGGGAUACCACCAACUCCUUACGUCCAAUUCUUAAAGACUUUUAUUUGCCUGAUAUGUAAAUAAUAUAAGGCAUGCAUGAGUAAUGUUUUGAACAUGUCUCCUGCCAAGAGACAACCAUUAAAAAAGUGAAAAUAGAGGUCAGCUAGAGAUGAGGACUUAACCAAAAUAAAAUGCCAACCUGGUACUCACCUCUCCUGUAGUACAAAAAUCCUUACAAAUGAGCAGCCAUGAAAGCUUUUGUUGACUGGAGAGAUGUUGAGGCAUAACAUAAUGACUAUUUCUUGUCAGGACCAGGACUCACUUUUCUAGUUCCACAAGCUGAACCAGCACUUUCGGAAGGGGCUGUGGAGACUCAAAAGUGGGUGUUGCUGUUACUGCCUGUAAUUAGAGAACAUGCUAUGAAGCCCAUUCAGUGUGAAUUCUCAGACAAGCCAGGAGGUCCAUCUGAGCACAUGUGAACAUACAAAACAAGGGAAUCUCACAGCAGCAGCCAGUAGUGGCUGCCUGAAUUUUGCAGGGCAGAUUUUUUUGUGUCUUUUCAGUGAUGUGGGGUAGUGCAGUGGCUUGUGCAGGUGACUUCCAAAGGUGUCCUCAGGCAAAAUGUCAUCAUAUCUUCUCUGCUCUCACUUAUCUUUCUUUCAAACGCUGAGUUAUUUCCUUUGUGUUGCAUUCUGCACCCUUCCUUAUGGAAUGCUGUUACAGUUCCACUAUGAUUUUGACUUUUCCCUUAACCAGCCAAACCCUAGGAGACCAAAGUUGUAGGAAAAAUAGGAAGAUUGACAGUGUAAAGGCAGCUCAGAUAUAACAGUCUCCAAUCUUUGCUGGCCCAUUGUGAGCAUAAUAAAGUAAUAAUACUCUAUAGUCAAGAUUUUACUUUUUCUUCAUUGUUACCUUCAAGAACAGCAUCUGCAGAAAGUAAAAUGUAGGACUGUAAUGUCAGAUUAGGGACUUCUGUUAUACAUACGUCAUUCAAAACACACCAAAAGAAAUGUGUGUUAGUUAUGACUAAUUUUCAACAGAAAUGUGAACUCUUUAGGAGAAUAGGAAAUACUUGGAAAUACAAAGCUGGUGACUUUAAUUUUUUUGACCAGUUAAUAUGAAGUUACUACAGCUACAUCAUAUCUAGUAUUAAAACUAUUCCAAUCUAUUGAAUCAGUGAGAAUGUAGCACUUCCAGGAUGUGUGCAGUUAUCCAGCUGGCUAUAAGCAUAGCUGUUACAGUCUGAGUGUGGGUUGUAGAUACCAAAUAGCUGUAUAGCAGUAACUGGACUGUGGCUGCUGAAUGUUUAAUGAAGUACUGUCUGCUGAAGGCACAGCUUGUAAGCCAGUACAGCUUUGUUAACAGAAAUAAAAUCUAGGCAGGGCUGAAUACUAGUCACUAUUGCUGACUUUUAAAUAAUGGAACUGAGAAGCAACAGGAAAGGUGUUACUGUGAGAUAGCUGGUAUGAGCUCCUCCUCACAUAUCAAAUGAUGUUUCAUGAUAGAAAUCAGAUAAAGAUCUGACUCUUCCAGACUUCUACCAGCAUUAAAAGAUCAGAAGGAGACAACCAGUCUGUUCAGGCUUUGAUUGUUGCAAGCAUAUGUAUUAGCACAGCUCUCCCUCUGCUUUUAUGUAUAACACAUAUAAUAAACAGUUCAGUUCUUCUACCAGUCCUCAGAAGGCCAGUAUUGGCUUACAAUAUUUCUUUAUCUACAGAGACCAUAUGAGAUCUUGUGUUUGGAGUUUAUUAUUGUGCUAGGAGGCCCCUUUUUCUGUGAAAUGGUUUUGACUCAUGUGGGAGUAGAUGGCUGUCAGCCUCAGCUUUCUAUGUGCUGCUGCAGCAAAGUAUAUUUUAAGUAAAAACUGUCCCUUAGACUUACCUACUUUUUUAUUUAAUCUGCAAGUUGUUUCAGGAGUUCACAAUUUACUUAGAGUGUUUUGAUGCUGAAGUGGUAGCUGCUUUUGAACUUCUGGGAUGUUCAGAACAGUAGGAAGUGGUUGAUUUAGCCAGAUGUACCUUCAUUGUACAUGGUGUCACACUCACAUACUCUUGUCCUAAGAAGGGCACACAAGACUUUUUCCACAGUUCAGCAUUCUAGGACUAUGCUAUCUGAAAAGUCUCAGCAACAGAUAACCUCGAAUAUCAUGUAUUUGAAGCCAUAAUUAUUUUAGUUUGUCAGACUCCAUUUAAUGUAAAACAAUCUCCACCAUGCACUGGCGUAUCUGAAUCUGUCCCUAAGCCAUCUUAACAUUUCUUUCAGACCAUGAUGUUCGCAGCCACUGCUGUACUCUCAGGAAAAUAAAGCAAUGUAGAGCCACAAAAAUAAAUUUAACCAAAAGUAUGCAAUCCACUUUUUAAUUAUAAUUCAACAGUUCUUGAAAGAGAACUUUUUUAUACAAAUCCCUCUUAUUCAUUAGCUGGACCCACUUUUCACUUCAGUUUUCUUGUAUUUUACAAAUAAGCAAAGAACAGACUUGAACUUCCUCUAAGGUUCACUGUAUAUUGUCACUGAAUCCCAUGUACUGUGAUGUUGUGACUUCCAUUCCAUGGGUAGGGUUCAAUGCAGUGAACUGUUUGCAUGACCUGUUACCAAUCAUUAACAAGAACUUGCUCGUACAGGUAUUUCUGGUGAGAAGCAUUUCUAGUCACCUGGAAUGAACUGCUGUGGAUUUAGCUGAUGAAUCAUUUUCAUUCCCAUUUUCUAAAGAGAGUUAUUUGGUAUAAAGACUUUAAUGGGAAUUGUAUGUAUUGCUGAAGUUAUGGUAAUAGUUACACUCUCUUGAAGACUUGCUCUGUAACAUAAAGAGAAUGCAGAAAAAAGCCCAAGGUUUUGUUUAACUUACUUUGUAUUCAUUGGUCCAGAUCCUUAAUCACUUUAGUUAUGCAUUGACUCAAGGCACCAUAUUGGAAAGCCUAAAGCUGCCUGCUGGAUUCCUGGUGCAACUGUAUUAUUCCUGUAGGAGGGACCACUUAUCAUUGUGUGGGGUAUGAGAUGCAUAUAGGAGACCUGUACAGAUACCCUGCUUUAGGCAUUGCAUGGUUACAUUUGUUUCUUCCUGAUUUACUAUCCCCAACAGUAGGAGCCUAAGCAGAAUCACACCAAACUAAAGAAAUUUUCAGUUUUCUUCUGUAGGUCACAGGACUGCCAAGUAGUAACUGAAUACACUGAAAAAUACAAAAAUACAGAAGAUAUUGUACAGCUAUGAUCUUCUUAACCAUCUAUUGGGUAUCAUCACCUAAUUUGUCCUUCCUUCAAUUGGUAAGAGGCCCAUUGGUUUUAGGCCCACUGAGGUGACAUGGAGAACUUGCAGGCAGAUAGAGUGAUUGCAGGAUAAAUGCAAGGAAUAAACAGAGCCAAUAAGGAACACAGAAUACAUGUAGGUGUUCAGCAACUAGGGUCAGUUUGCAUUUGUAAUCUGUGUAGUGGUUAUGACUUAAGACACAUCUGAUAAAACUCCAUGUUUCCCUUGCUAAUUACAGUGUGCUUCAGAUUGGUUUAAAGAGAGAAAGAUACUUCAUUAUUAUGAUGGAAUUUCCAAACAGAAAAAUAAAAUGUUUAUCUAACAGAACAGAACUCCAUUAAGUCUCACAUUGUUUUUAAGCAGACAAUUGGAUGUAUCAUCUAUUCCUUCAUUCACUGAAACAAUCUCCAGGCUUGUGUCAGAGGAUGUCAGCUUUUGUUGCUUCCUUUGAAUUCGGAGAAGCAUGCAUUUAUUUAUCUGACGCUAACCCAGAUCUCACAUGACGGGAGCACGAGACCAGUAUUGCACCAUGACCCUUUCCUCUGGAGUUACUUUAACAAAUGAACUUUUGGUUCUGAUUAUUUUGCUGUAUUUA